rnacentral:rRNA from 1 species
CUACGGGAGGCUGCAGUGGGGAAUAUUGCACAAUGGGCGAAAGCCUGAUGCAGCGACGCCGCGUGAGCGAAGAAGUAUUUCGGUAUGUAAAGCUCUAUCAGCAGGGAAGAAGAAAUGACGGUACCUGACUAAGAAGCACCGGCUAAAUACGUGCCAGCAGCCGCGGUAAUACGUAUGGUGCAAGCGUUAUCCGGAUUUACUGGGUGUAAAGGGAGCGCAGGCGGCGCGGCAAGUCUGAUGUGAAAGCCCGGGGCUCAACCCCGGGACUGCAUUGGAAACUGUCGUGCUAGAGUGUCGGAGAGGUAAGUGGAAUUCCUAGUGUAGCGGUGAAAUGCGUAGAUAUUAGGAGGAACACCAGUGGCGAAGGCGGCUUACUGGACGAUAACUGACGCUGAGGCUCGAAGCGUGGGGAGCAAACAGGAUUAGAUACCCCCGUAGUC